rnacentral:rRNA from 1 species
UUGGAGGGCAAGUCUGGUGCCAGCAGCCGCGGUAAUUCCAGCUCCAAUAGCGUAUAUUAAAGUUGUUGCAGUUAAAAAGCUCGUAGUUGAAUUUCGGGAUCGAUACGUCGGUCGUGCUUUUUUGGUACGCACUGGCGUCAUUGGUUUCUCCUUUCUGACGAACCAUGAUGUCAUUAAUUUGGUGUUAUGGGGAAUCAGGACUGUUACUUUGAAAAAAUUAGAGUGUUUAAAGCAGGCAUUAGCUUGAAUACAUUAGCAUGGAAUAAUGAAAUAGGACGUUCGAUCCUAUUUUGUUGGUUUCUAGGAUCAACGUAAUGAUUAAUAGGGAUAGUUGGGGGCAUUAGUAUUCAAUUGUCAGAGGUGAAAUUCUUGGAUUUAUUGAAGACUAACUACUGCGAAAGCAUUUGCCAAGGAUGUUUUCAUUAAUCAAGAACGAAAGUUAGGGGAUCGAAGACGAUCAGAUACCGUCGUAGUCUUAACCAUAAACUAUGCCGACUAGGGAUCGGAUGAUGUUAAUUUUUUAAUGACUCAUUCGGCGCCUUACGGGAAAC